UACGUAGGGUGCAAGCGUUACUCGGAAUUACUGGGCGUAAAGCGUGCGCAGGCGGUUUUGUAAGUCUGACGUGAAAUCCCCGGGCUUAACCUGGGAAUUGCGUUGGAGACUGCAAGGCUGGAGUCUGGCAGAGGGGGGUAGAAUUCCACGUGUAGCAGUGAAAUGCGUAGAUAUGCGGAGGAACACCGAUGGCGAAGGCAAUCCCCUGGGCCUGCACUGACGCUCAUGCACGAAAGCGUGGGGAGCAAACAGG
rnacentral:rRNA from 1 species